CUUCAAUUUAAAACAUGAUCAUUGUAUGACAGGGACGGCUCAACACAGUGUGGACUGUUUUGCCUCAUGGCGAAUACCCGAGACCAGAUCAAAAUGGACGAGGAGGUGGAUGUAUUUCAUGCUGCGCGACAGCUCCUUAUCAGGCGACCAGAGUUUUUGAGCACUUUUGAACAAUAUCAGUUUUGCUACGCCAUCUUGAAUGAUUACCUGGAGGCCAGCGACGUGUACAUGAACUGAGCAAGUAUCUUGUAAUAACAUAAGACAAAACAGACCAGGAGAAAUGUGUCAAUAAUGUAAACAAGAGAACUGUGGUAGAGGAUGGCUACUGAUCACCCAUGAUUAGACGGGUGAUAAAUGCAGAAGAGUAUCGUUAUAUAUAAAUGUGCUACAGCUGCUACUGCUAAUAUUACGGCGAUAGCUGUGCUAUAGUUUGGUCCAACUGUCUACUACUGGAACGCACAUGCAGUGAUUGAUGUGUUUAGAGUAAUCUCCUAUAUCUGCUGCUGGUGUUCACAUGAAUAACAACCUGUUGUGCAGUACAUGGUGCAUGUUAAAUUAGCAAUAUUAACAAGGCAGAACUGCGAUAUUGUGAAUUGCUCUAGUAUAUCACACACAUUAAUUAUUUUUGAAAGAGGGGAUAUAAUGUUCUGGUUUUAGCUUAUUGCACUUAGUGUUGUAGAGUAUGAGGAUUAAACAUUUUCCAGUUGGCACACAUGUAGGUGUACACACUAGUCAGUGUAGUUAAGUAUUAGGUACGUGCUCAACACAUUGAAAAUUGUUGAUGGGUUGAAAAUGAUGUGUUCUACUAGGUUUAUAGAUUGAUUUUGAUUGAGUGUCACGCAUAAACAUUUUCCCGGUAGGCUAGCGAACAGAUGCAUACUCUUAAUGUGAUGGAUAAUUGAAACGGCGGAAUAAGCUGCUAGCUAAAAGAAAAUAAAAAUGAUAUAUAUCAUAAUAUAAUACUUAAUAGCUUUUUAAAUAUAUUACUCAUCCAUAACUCUGCUUCUAAAAUCUACUAUGUUUACUUUUUAUUGUGUUUGAAAUGAAUUGUGGAAGCCAAAUAUAUAUUGAUGUAUUUGUUCCUUCAUAUUCAUCAUCCUUAUGCUAUGAAGGUCAAAUCAUUUUAUACCAGUUACACUAAUGACAGUAGCACGAUAUGGAGAAAUCCACAAUUUAAAACGUUUUACCGCUUAACAAAAUGACCAGAUAAAUCUCAUGAAAAAUAAUAUUUUGGAAAAUAUGAUCGAUAUAUCAGUAUCUGUUUCAUUAACCUUAAAUAAAAUGAAUAAGCUUACAGAUCUCAUGAAAAAUAUUUCACUUUGCCAUGAUUCAAAACCGGUGAUUCACAGACAGGUUAGUUUCCUUGGAUGACGUCUAGUGUUUGGUUGUUUGCUUUUUAUGAAACUUAAAAGCAUUGUAUCUAGCUUUAUAGACACCAAUGAUCAUGCUAAUUAACAUAAAGCACGUGUUAUAUUGUCGUGAUUUUUUUUGUCAGUAUGGUGUUUUGAUGUGUUUGCACUUCAUGAUAGAGAUAAUUAUAUACCACUAAAUGUUUGUAUUGUUUUGAUUUUAUAUUGUCCAUUCAGUCAGUGUAAGUAGACUGUGCUCUUUAUGUGUUUAUAUGUGAACACUUCUUUCUUCGCAUUUUCAUUCCAUGGUAUAUCCCCGUACAAAUAAUUUGAUAUUCAGAUUUAUAAAAGGAAAUCCAUCAUCAUAACAUCCAUUGUUUCAAGCCUUCAACGGGACUUAGAUCAAUUCAUCACUCUGUUCAUUAUAACAACGAUUAAUUCAAAGACGCUAUUCUUUUAUGUACAGAUUGUUAUUCUAAUUACAGUAUUAUCAAAUCCAAGGCACAGUUUGAUUGCAAAACAUAAAUAUAUUUUCAAAUAUGUUCGAUAAACCCGACACUAAAUUCUAUCCUACUAUUUGAAUGUUUGUAGUACAUUGUUUACAGAAACUAACAUGAAAAUUGUUUUUGGUUGUCACGCGAUUAUGAGGACAAUACACUGCUGGCGUUUUAUAAUGAAUUUAGGAACUAUUGGCGAAAAUACUUGAACUUCCGAACAUCACUUCAAUUUUAGAUUAAUGUAAUAUUUGGUAACAGAAAAGAAAUACUUAAUUUGACAAACAUCUCUUUCCACUUCAUUAUGUGAUAUCAAUUCAGUCACGUGAAUUAUUGUCCCGCUGUUGUUGCGCUAUUUCUAAGACCAUGACAUAAACGUCUUUUAAAAUGACAGCAUCUUGUUAUCAAUGUUGAGUCAUAAUAAUUAUUUCAUGAACACGUCUUCAUUCUCUGAUUAGUCAGUUUAGUGAAGUAUGCAGAACAUCUGUAUCGUUUAUUCUUCAUGUAUUUUCCAAUCUAAAUGUCAUAUUUGAAUUUCUAGUUUUUUUCAGAAGUCAAUUGUUUGUGUCUUCAUGAAUAUUAAUCCUUUAACUUUUUAACAUCUAUCUUUUCAGUAAAACAAGUAUUAUGCAAAAAAGAGUUUUUGUUUUGCUGGUUUUAUCGCCCGUGAACAGCCAGUGAAAUUUUGAAACGGGGCUCCGUGUAGAACUCAGUGAUUACCUCAUUAUACAAAGGACCAACGGCUCGUCGCACGGCAUCUUGAGUAAAAAGGGUAAAGUAUCUUGCUCAAAGAUACAUCCACAUUACGACUGGCCGGCUGGUUUCUCAGCUUUCCGAGAAACAUAAACUGACACGGGGCUUUUAAUUGAGGUUAUGUGGUCGAUGCUCUAACUGACAGAGUAAAUAAUGUGGACAGUAGGAUACUUAAUCGUUAUUCCCGACCCGUGUCAUAGUAGUAGAGUGUGUUGUUUUAAUUAAUCCUAGAUAACAUCAUAUCAAAAACACGGAAAAGCCACUUGAUACAGUGAAUGAAUUUUCGCCGACAACAUCCUCCUAUGGAACAGGAAGAGUAUACUCUGACACGUUAAGGAUGACAACCUCCACGUUUUGUUGUAUGGCGUUCAAGUAACUAUGUCGCUUUGAGUCAUAUAUCACUAUUUUAGUGAAAUUAAUUCAGUAUGGGAUCUCCGAAUGAUAUAUAAAAGAUUGAUGGAUGCAAGGUGCUGAAGUUGUAGUGCACGGACCUAGUGACCGAAGAGUCACUUAAUUGUUCGAGUAAGGUUAUAUCUUUUGACAAUAUACUUUAUUCUAGUGCGUUCAAGUUGACUCAGCGAUCAAAGAAAGCCUGCUUUUCAUAUGUUGUUAGUUCCGAAUGAGAGGUCCGAUGGUAAACUUGUAUCCUAAGGCCCGAUGACCACAAACAAUUACUUAAGCUCAGUUUUCAGAGAGCUAUACAGCUGUGAUAAAGCAGUAUGUAUUACUAUGAUUUAUCUAAUUUUAAGUUAUUUUUAUCUUAUCCUGUUGUGCAUAAUAAAAUACUAUUGCGAGCAUUC